rnacentral:rRNA from 1 species
GAUGAACGCUGGCGGCGUGCCUAAUACAUGCAAGUCGAGCGAACAGAUGAGGAGCUUGCUCCUAUGACGUUAGCGGCGGACGGGUGAGUAACACGUGGAUAAACUACCUAUAAGACUGGGAUAACUUCGGGAAACCGGAGCUAAUAACGGAAAAUAUAUUGAACCGCAUGGUUCAAUAGUGAAAGACGGUUUUGCUGUCACUUAUAGAUGGAUCCGCGCCGCAUUAGCUAGUUGGUAAGGUAACGGCUUACCAAGGCAACGAUGCGUAGCCGACCUGAGAGGGUGAACGGCCACACCGGAACUGAGACACGGUCCAGACUCCUACGGGAGGCAGCAGUAGGGAAUCUUCCGCAAUGAGCGAAAGCCUGACGGAGCAACGCCGCGUGAGUGAUGAAGGUCUUCGGAUCGUAAAACUCUGUAAUUAGGGAAGAACAAAUGUGUAAGUAACUAGGCACGUCUUGACGGUACCUAAUCAGAAAGCCACGGCUAACUACGUG